GGAUGGGUGGCAGAGCGGUUGAAUGCACCGGUCUUGAAAACCGGCAGUCGCGUAAGCGGCUCGUGGGUUCAAAUCCCACCCCAUCCG
rnacentral:tRNA from 1 species